rnacentral:rRNA from 1 species
UAUCAGCUUUAGACGGUAGGGUAUUGGCCUACCGUGGCUAUGACGGGUAACGGGGAAUUAGGGUUCGAUUCCGGAGAGGGAGCCUGAGAAACGGCUACCACAUCUAAGGAAGGCAGCAGGCGCGCAAAUUACCCAAUCCUAAUACAGGGAGGUAGUGACAAGAAAUAACAAUACAGAGCCUUACGGUUUUGUAAUUGGAAUGAGUUAAGUAUAAACCCCUUAACAAGUAUCAAUUGGAGGGCAAGUCUGGUGCCAGCAGCCGCGGUAAUUCCAGCUCCAAUAGCGUAUAUUAAAGUUGUUGCAGUUAAAAAGCUCGUAGUUAAUUUUCUGUUAAUUUUUAUAUACAAUGCUACGGUAUUUAUAUAAUAUUAACAUAAUUCAUAUUACUUUUUAGUAUAUGAAACUUUACUUUGAGAAAAUUAGAGUGCUUAAAGCAGGCUAUUGCCUUGAAUACUCCAGCAUGGAAUAAUAUUAAGGAUUUUUAUUCUUCUUAUUGGUUCUAGAAUAAAAAUAAUGAUUAAUAGGGACAGUUGGGGGCAUUUGUAUUUAACAGUCAGAGGUGAAAUUCUUAGA